ACACUCGACCCAGGCCAGGCCAGAGGAGGCGUUGAAGCUGGAGCAGCCUCCGAUGUGCAAGGACCGAGAGCCGACCACAGCCUCUCAGAGCACAGGGAUGGCCACACCCAGGUCACACCCGCCUCUGGACACAGAUGCUGCCACGUCCUCCCAGGGUCCCGAGGACAGGCCAGAGAAUGUGGUGGCCAAGCCAGCCUCUGCAGGUGACGGUGUCUUCAAAACCCCACCCAGGCCUGGAGGCAGGCAGAGCCCUCGGCCAGUGUGAACCCGAGAGGGGGGACCCGAGGCAGGUGCACAACAG
rnacentral:lncRNA from 1 species